GAUGAACGCUAGCGGCAGGCCUAAUACAUGCAAGUCGAACGGGUAGCAAUACCAGUGGCGCACGGGUGCGUAACGCGUAUGCAACCUACCUUUCACUGGGGAAUAACUUUGAGAAAUCAAAGCUAAUACCGCAUAAAACAGGGAUCCGGCAUCGGAAUAUUGUUAAAGAUUUAUCGGUGAAAGAUGGGCAUGCGUCUGAUUAGCUAGUUGGUGAGGUAACGGCUCACCAAGGCGACGAUCAGUCGGGGUUCUGAGAGGAAGAUCCCCCACACUGGCACUGAGAUACGGGCCAGACUCCUACGGGAGGCAGCGGUAGGGAAUAUUGGGCAAUGGGCGAAAGCCUGACCCAGCCAUGCCGCGUGCAGGACGAAGGCCCUCUGGGUUGUAAACUGCUUUUGCAGGAGAAGAAUAAAUGAUUUGCGAAUCAUUCUGACGGUAUUCUGCGAAUAAGCCACGGCUAACUACGUGCCAGCCGCCGCCGUAACAC
rnacentral:rRNA from 1 species